rnacentral:rRNA from 1 species
AUUGAACGCUGGCGGCAGGCCUAACACAUGCAAGUCGAGCGAGCGGCGGACGGGUGAGUAAUGUCUGGGAAACUGCCUGAUGGAGGGGGAUAACUACUGGAAACGGUAGCUAAUACCGCAUACCAUCAGAUGUGCCCAGGUGGGAUUAGCUAGGAGGUGGGGUAACGGCUCACCUAGGCGACGAGCCCUCGCUGGUCCGAGAGGAUGACCAGCCAAACGGGAACGGAGACACGGUCCAGACUCCUACGGGAGGCAGCAGUGGGGAAUAUUGCACAAUGGGCGCAAGCCGGAUGCAGCCAGGCCGCGUGAUUGAAGAAGGCCUUCGGGUUGUAAAGCACUUUCAGCGGGGAGGCGUUACCCGCAGAAGAAGCACCGGCUAACUCCGUGCAAGCAGCCGCGGUAAUAC